UACGGGGGGGGCAAGCGUUGUUCGGAAUUACUGGGCGUAAAGGGCUCGUAGGCGGCCAACUAAGUCAGACGUGAAAUCCCUCGGCUUAACCCGGGGAACUGCGUCUGAUACUGGAUGGCUUGAGUUUGGGAGAGGGAUGCGGAAUUCCAGGGUGUAGCGGUGAAAUGCGUAGAUAAUCGGAAGGAACAUCAGUGGCGAAAGCGGCCUUCCUGGUCCAGCACCGA
rnacentral:rRNA from 1 species